UAAUUAGGGCCCAAUGGGGAAGCGGCGAGACAGGAGGACCCGCCCUCGGAGCUCUGGAGACCUCCUUCCCAGACCCCCCCGGCGCCCGGGCCACCUGUUGCGGCCAACUUGGAAUGCUGGACCAGGUCUUCUUUUGACCCUUGGCCCAGGCCACCCCAGCUGAGUGGCCCUGGCCUACCCAGAUAGUUCCCAGAUUUAUGGGUCCCCGGGCAGCAAUCCCCUGGCCCGGGUGCCCGCCCCAGCGCACGCCCGGAAGACUAAACCGAACAGUCAGAGAUGGGGAGGGGGAUGUAGACUCAUGGGAUGGUUGGAGGUACGGGCCGCCUUAGGAGGGGCUCUGGAAGGACACUGGAACGGGGGUAGAACGCGGGAGGGCGGGGAGAACGCGGGAGGGCGGAGUGUGCUAGGAGCGGGAGCGCGAGCGCGAGGCCCUUUUGUUCUUAGGGUUUAGAACAAAGAAGGACAAGCAGAGGCCAUGUGAAGACUUUAGUAGGGACUGGAGUCCUGCGGAGCGAGUGCCUGAGAGUAAAAAGUGAAUAGAAGAAUGAAAGGCAGAAUCCAGAAGGCUCCUCCCUACGGAUGGCCACAUUCUCACCACAAACUGAGUCAUGGCCACGCCCUGCCUGGAAAGUGGAAAAUUACUGAGAGGGAAGUGGAAGGCUAAACUCUAGGAGUUUUAAGUUUUCAAUCCAGAAAUCACAGCCAUCUACUCUCCACCUGGAACUAAUUGAAGAACAGUUGUUUACACAUCCCUAGCCCUAACACAGCAUGUCCAGGUCUAACCGAGUAAAGCUGCUUGAGUCCAGGACUACGUGGAAGGGUGAAGUUCAACUGGGAAAACCGGGGUAAGGAGUCAGUCUGGGCCAUCCAAAUGUGGAGUGGUUCCUGGGUCAGUCUCCACCAUGAA